rnacentral:rRNA from 1 species
CGGUGUUUAACUGGCGUGAUGUGGGACGUCCUACCGGUGGGCUUAGCCUCGCGAGGGGCGGCCCAACUAAUAUCCCGUCGCGGUGCUCUUUACUGAGUGUCGAGUCGGGCCGGUACGUUUACUUUGAACAAAUUAGAGUGCUUAAAGCAGGCUAUCCUCGCCUGAAUACUGCGUGCAUGGAAUAAUGGAAUAGGACCUCGGUUCUAUUUUGUUGGUUUUCGGAACCCCCGAGGUAAUGAUUAAUAGGGACAGAUGGGGGCAUUCGUAUUGCGACGUUAGAGGUGAAAUUCUUGGAUCGCCGCAAGACGGACAGAAGCGAAAGCAUUUGCCAAAAAUGUUUUCAUUAAUCAAGAACGAAAGUUAGAGGUUCGAAGGCGAUCAGAUACCGCCCUAGUUCUAACCAUAAACGAUGCCAGCUAGCGAUCCGCCGAAGUUCCUCCGAUGACUCGGCGGGCAGCUUCCGGGAAACCAAAGCUUUUGGGUUCCGGGGGAAGUAUGGUUGCAAAGCUGAAACUUAAAGGAAUUGACGGAAGGGCACCACCAGGAGUGGAGCCUGCGGCUUAAUUUGACUCAACACGGGAAACCUCACCAGGCCCAGACACCGGAAGGAUUGACAGAUUGAUAGCUCUUUCUUGAUUCGGUGGGUGGUGGUGCAUGGCCGUUCUUAGUUGGUGGAGCGAUUUGUCUGGUUAAUUCCGAUAACGAACGAGACUCUAGCCUGCUAAAUAGGCGUACCUUAUGGUAUCGCGAAGGCCCCCGGCUUCGGCCGGUGGGUUUUUACUACCAACGUACAAACAAAUCUUCUUAGAGGGACAGGCGG